rnacentral:rRNA from 1 species
UGCAAGUAUCAGCAUACCCGUGAGAACGCCCUUUUAACCUUUAUAGGACAAGGAGCCGGUAUCAGGCACAGACAACUAGCCCAUGACACCUAGCUUUGCCACACCCUCAAGGGUACUCAGCAGUGAUUAACAUUGUUUAUAAGCGCCAGCUUGAAUCAGUUACAGAGUAAAGAGCCGGCCAAUACGGUGCCAGCCGCCGCGGCUACACCGCUAGGCUCAAGUUGAUAUUAUCCGGCGUUAAGCGUGUUUUAAGUGCCUAAAAGAUUAGAAUUAAACUUAAACCAAGCCGUGACACGCUUGUUCCUAAGAAAAACAAAAACGAAAGUUAUUCUAACCCAACCACUUGAACCCACGACAGCUAGGGCACAAACUGGGAUUAGGUACCCCACUAUGCCUAGCCGUAAAACAUACACUUACACCUUUAAUCGCCAGGGAAUUACGAGCCCAAGCUUAAAACCCAAAGGACUUGACGGUGUCCCACCCACCUAGAGGAGCCUGU